rnacentral:tRNA from 1 species
GACGUGAUAGCCUAAUAGCUUAAUAACGGUGGUAGAUUGUAAAUCUAAGGAUAGAGGUUAAACUCCUCUUCAUGUCA